CUGAAGUAACAGGACAGGACAAUACCAAUCAGAGACAGGACCAAAUCUGAACACAACUGAAUGACUUUAUCUGAUACUGUAGUCCCUGGAGUAUUCCUUACAUCUCAUGGAACAGAAAGGGUAUCAUGCAGACUUCACUGAGAUUGGAUUUAAUUCUGAAGUUUAAUGAGAGAAUAGUAGCUGUGAUUACUCUCCUAUAACGAUCAUACAUGUCAACUAUUGAUAUCUUUUAGGAAGAAAAUGAAUAUAAUUCCAGGAAAUGGUCAGGCUGAGCCCAAGGGAAGGAGUCAAGUGCAUCAUCAGUCUUGAGUCCCUUCAUGCCCACAAGAGAUCUAAGUCCAGCUCUCCUUGAAUUCUGUUGACUCUUAUCUACUGUCAAUUUGCCUUAACUGUUAGUAAUUCAAAUUCUUGUAGAGCGUGUUAGUAUGUAAUAAACCUGUAUUCAUUUGA